UUGGAGGGCAAGUCUGGUGCCAGCAGCCGCGGUAAUUCCAGCUCCAAUAGCGUAUAUUAAAGUUGUUGCAGUUAAAAAGCUCGUAGUUGAAUUUCGGGAUCAAUGGAUCGGUCAUGCCGUUGGUAUGUACUGGUUUUAUUGAUUCUCACCUUCUAAAGAACCAUGAUGGCAUUAAUUUGUUGUUGUGGGGAAUUAGGACUGUUACCUUGAAAAAAUUAGAGUGUUUAAAGCAGGCUUACGCUUGAAUACAUUAGCAUGGAAUAACGAAAUAGGACAUCGCAUUCUAUUUUGUUGGUUUCUAGGAUCGAUGUAAUGAUUAAUAGGGAUAGUUGGGGGCAUUAGUAUUCAAUUGUACGAGGUGAAAUUCUUGGAUUUAUUGAAGACUAACUACUGCGAAAGCAUUUGCCAAGGAUGUUUUCAUUAAUCAAGAAC
rnacentral:rRNA from 1 species